rnacentral:tRNA from 1 species
GCAGAUAAGGUGUUUUUGGUUGCAUCGUAGACUUCCACUCUAUUGGAGCGAGUUCGAAUCUCGCUAUCUGCU